AGCUUCAGACUAUGGUCCCCCAAAUGGGGACCCAGGACACUGAAGGGUCAACCUUUCCCAACCUGACUGGCCUGCCAUGGGCAGGGAAGGCAGAACCCAACCUUCAUGGCCAGCUGUUCCCCUCUCACCCCGAAUCCCCCUAAGACGGGUCAAGAAUUAGCUCAGCACUAGCAGAGAGCAGGUGCCAGAAAGGGAGGCAUCUGAACUCAUAGACGAUAGCCUAACAAACUCACAGGGACAGCCUGUGGGAGGGACUCACAAGGCAGAAAUGUCCUGCCCUCAGAGAGAAGCACUGCCACCGGGGCAGGGUCCAGAGACACGUCCCCUUCAACUUCAGGUGUCAACAGCUUGAAAGCGAAUGAGAGGCAGGCCUGGAGAUCUUUCUACUCCCGUUGGGGUCUGGACACAAAUGUCCACAGACAAUUCCUUCUUUCCCUGUGGUAGACUCCUCCUCUCUGCCCCACAUACCAGGACCCUGAGCAAGUGGGUCUCACACAUGGCCCUCACUUCUCUCCCCCUGCUCUACCCAGGGACCUCAAGCUUGGUGCUCCUCCUUUGCCUCAAGGGCAUCCCUUGAUGUGCAGUUUCCCCUUCUCCAGGUGUCCCCUGGAUUGCUAGCCCUGAAUGCUAAGGUUGCAAGAGCCUUGUCUCCCCCUCUCCCCCUGUCCCUUCUCCCACACAGCCUCUCCCGGGAAGACUGGAGAAGACUCAAUAAAUACCAAGGUCUGUUUGUAUUUGG
rnacentral:lncRNA from 1 species